GAUGAACGCUGGCGGCGUGCCUAAUACAUGCAAGUCGAGCGAACAGACGAGGAGCUUGCUCCUCUGACGCUAGCGGCGGACGGGUGAGUAACACGUGGAUAACCUACCUAUAAGACUGGGAUAACUUCGGGAAACCGGAGCUAAUACCGGAUAAUAUAUUGAACCGCAUGGUUCAAUAGUGAAAGACGGUUUUGCUGUCACUUAUAGAUGGAUCCGCGCCGCAUUAGCUAGUUGGUAAGGUAACGGCUUACCAAGGCGACGAUGCGUAGCCGACCUGAGAGGGUGAUCGGCCACACUGGAACUGAGACACGGUCCAGACUCCUACGGGAGGCAGCAGUAGGGAAUCUUCCGCAAUGGGCGAAAGCCUGACGGAGCAACGCCGCGUGAGUGAUGAAGGUCUUCGGAUCGUAAAACUCUGUUAUUAGGGAAGAACAAAUGUGUAAGUAACUAUGCACGUCUUGACGGUACCUAAUCAGAAAGCCACGGCUCACUACGUG
rnacentral:rRNA from 1 species